GGUCAAUGCACUGGAAGGGACCCUCCUGCUCCUGCCCUUGAUCUGAACUCAGCCGGGCCCCAGGGCACCGGGAGUCAGCAGAGGAGGUGGAGCAGAAAGAGAGCUGUGCAUUUGCCGAAGUGGGCCGGGCUUAGUCUGCUUACAGGACUGGGAUCAGGAUAGGCCCAGCGCUCUCCACCUCAGGACCCUGCCCUCCACGGAGCCAUGGCCUGCGAACCCCUGCUCUCCCCAGUCACAGGCUGUGUCUUCCUUGGGACAGUGGGUUGGAAACUGUCCUCCAGGCCCGGCCAGCCGGUGGAAGUGUGGGAGAAGAUCCUCUGCAGGCCAGUCGGGAAGGCAGGCGGGCUGGGUAAGCUACGGCGCUGGCCCAGAGAGCCGGGAGGUGCUCUGUGGGUUUCACUGCCGUCCGUCCGCGUCUCGCGAAGCUAACGGUUGCAGAGAAAUACAGAAAAGUGUCCCCAAUUCUACAACCAGGCUGAGCGGGAUUUGGUUUUUCUUUUUUUUUUUUUUUUAAGAUUUAUUUAUUUAUUUGAAAGUCAGAGUUACACAGAGAGAGAAGGAGAGGCAGAGGCAGAGGGAGAGAGAGAGAGAGAGAGAGAGAGAGAGAGGUCUUCCAUCCGCUGGUUCACUCCCCAGAUGGCCGUAAUGGCUGGAGCUGCGCCAAUCCAAAGCCAGGAGCCAGGAGCUUCUUCCAGGUCUCCCAUGUGUGUGCAGGGGCCCAAGGACUUGGACCAUCUUCCACUGCUUUCCCAGGCCAUCAGCAGGGAGCUGGAUGGGAAGUGGAGCAACCGGGAAUCGAACCUGCAGCCAUAGGGGAUGCCGGCACUGCAGGUGGCGGCUUUAGCUGCUAUGCCACAGUGCUGCGCCCAAGGUCAACAAUUUCCAAGAAGUGCUCAUCAUAGCAGGGAUGUACUGGCCAAAGGUGAGGGAGUGGCCCGCGAAUGAACAUGUGCCCUGUCCCCGAGGCGCGGGUCACGGUCACGAUGCCAACACACACUGCUUCCACUUCGUCCAUCACUCUUUCCUGUUUGCCUCCGUUCCCUCACCCAGUGAAGAUGUACUUUGUGCUUGUCACCUAUGUGCGCUCUGGAACAUAUCAAGGCGCUUACCAGGAGUCUUCCUGGAGCCCCGUGUCAGCAGGGCUGGACGGAAUCAGUGACUGUACAGCAAACCCAGCAAAUCAGACCCUGUCCUGCAGGAAAGGAGGCGGGGACAGCCACAGCAGGCUGGGGCAUCAGGACCCCGUGUGCCUGUGUGUGUUAGAGGUGGGAGCUGGGUGGGGGGAGGGCUGAAACUGUGACUGCCACCGCCCGCAGGGCUGGCCCCGGGGUCCCUCUCGGAGCAAAUCAGGGGACAGCCAAGAGACCAUGAUCCCUGCAUUUCUUUCCUUUCCUGUUUUUUAACUUGGUUUCUCUGCUGAGUGACAUUUCCCUUUGCAUUUCGUGGUCUCUCUAGGUUCCUGGUCUCUGUAGUCGUCUGUGUUCUGUUAUCAUAACCAAAUACCUGAGGCUGGGUAACGUAUGCGCUGGAGAGGUUUAUUUAGUUCACGAACCCGAUGGAUAGAGGGUUCCAGCGGCACGGCGCCGAGGUCCUGGCGAUGCCCCUGGCUGCAUCACAGCACAAUGGAAAAGCAAGUAGAACGCGAAUCUGCCCGCGUGCAGAGGAACCACGUGGCAAGACAGAGAGUCAGAAAGAUUCAGGGGUCCAGGCUUGCUCUUUUGUAGCAACCCAGUCUUGUGAGAGUCAACCCGGGUUCGAGAUUAAGCCAACAGUAUCAGCUAGUUUUCACAGAGCCUGUCAUUCUCAUUUCUGUACACUAGAUGGCAGUAAAGUUAAAGAAAAAACAUCUGAAACUGAGGUUUUAUUCUUAAAGGAAUUUCCUGAGUUUUCCCACGGAGCCAAACCUGUAGAAAGACAAAGUUAAAUUCCAGCAAGGCACAACAGGACACUAACAUAUCACAGGCUCGUGUGUGCACAGUGCUUCUAGAGUAGAAUGCAUUCUCUGGCUUAAACAUUUUACAGAACUGAUUUAUUUUUAUUUCAAAGGUACACACACAGAGACAGGUAGAGAAAGAGAGAAAGAUAAAAGGGGGAGAUAGAGAUAGAUAGAGAGAAAGAGAGGGAGAGAGGCAGUGAGAAAGAUAAAGGGGAGGGAUAUAUAUAUAUGUAGAGAGAGAGAGAGAGAGAGAGAGAGAGAGUCAGAAACAGGCUCAGAGAGAUCUUCAGUCCCCUGGUUUAUUCCCCAAGUGCCUGCAACAGCUGAGACUGGGCCAGGACAGAGCCAAAAGUCAGGAAGCUGGAAUGGAGCCAGGACUCAAACUCAAGGGUGCAGGUGUCCCAAGUGGUGGCUUAUCCCCUGUACCAAACACCCACGCCAUCUGUCUUUACCUGUCUGUCUGUCUCUCUGCCUUUCCCUCUGUGUGUGCCUUUACCACAUAAAUGUUCACCGAAUCUGAGAACUAUAAGCUCCAACUUCCAGUAUGCAACUUAAUUUGAUAUUAUUCUUAAAAAUGGGGCUGGGAUUUUUUUUUUUUUUUUUUUUUUGCCAUUUGGAGGACAUCAUUUAGUUGGUUCAUUCAAUAUCAUUCAAUGUGAAAAUUAGAAAAUGUAAGGAAGCCGGCUUUCCAGCAGUUUUCAAAUAACAUGGUAAGAAAUGUAAGGGUAAUGGUAUCUGGGGUGUGGUUGUGGUGCAGUGGUUAAGCUGAGACUUGGGACAGCUGAUCCCACACCAGGAGUGCCUGGUAUCCAGUCUCACCUCUGUUUCCGAUCCAGCUCCCUGCUAGCGUGCAGGGAAAGAAGUGGAGGAUGGCCCAAGUCCUUGGGUUCCUGUAGCCCACAUGGGAGGCCCAGAUGAAGCUUCUGGCUCCUGGCUUUGGCCUGGCCCAGACAUGGCUGCUGUGGGCAUUUGGGGAGUGAACCAGUGGAUAGAAGAUCUCCCUCUCUCUUUGUUGCUCUCUUUCAAAUAUCAUUUUUUAUUUUAUCUUUAAAAUAUUUUAUUUACUUAUUUGAGAGGUAGAGUUACAGACAGAGGGAGGAAAAGACAGACAGAAAGGUCUCCCAUCUGCUGGUUCGCUCUCCAAAUGACUGCAAUGGCUGGAGCUGGGUUGAUCUGAAACCAGGAGCCAGGAGCUUCUUUUAGGUCUUCCCACGUGGGUGCAGGGGCCCAAGCACUUGGGCCAUCUUCCACUGCUUUCCCAGGCCAUAGCAGGGAGCUGGAUUGGAAGUGGAGCAGCCGUUCCCAAACCGGCGCCCAUAUGGGAUGCCAACACUGCAGACGGUGGCAUUACCUGCUACAUCACAGUGCCGGCCUCAGGCUAUAUGUAUUUGAAUGGAUAAGAUCAUGAAUGGAUUUGUCCCAAAUACUUUAAGUUGGCAAACUAGGCAGGCUGUUUGUGGAUCAGGUAGGGGCAGUAAUACAGAACUAAAAACAGAAAGCAGUUUAAAAAACAAAAAAGCAACUCUAACAGAAUUUUCAUCGUAUCUUCUCACCUCAUUAAGGCCCUUCCUUAUUUAGACACAAUUCUGGCUUAAGAACAUGUCAAUCCCUUAAAUGAGAUCCUUGUUAAGGAUUCUUUGAAUGCAGGACAAAGUUUGUGCUUUAAAUUUCCAUCCACAGUAAAUGACGUAAUUCCAAAGCUGAGUACUCCCAGACUCCCUUAGGAAGAUUUCAUGGGGCAGAGUCCUUCAUUUAGGGCGUGCAAAAGCACACACUUGUAUUUUGUAUGGCAAAGCAUGGGAGCUUUCAGAUUGCCUUCCACAAAGAGGGUGAAAAAUACAUCUCCUGUUGAAAUAUGCUUAAAAGCAACUUUUUAUUCAGUUUUAACACCAUGUAAGAAUCCACAUAGUAGAUUUUUGGUCUGCAAAUGGUCCCUUUUAAUAAUUUCUCAUUGAAAAAAAUUUGGUCUCUAAACCUUUCUUUUUAACACCCUUUUGAAGGUCAACCCGAAGAAGUGUGGUGUGGACCCUGAGUCUUCCUGGGGAUGAAGGCUCCAGGAGGAGGGCAGGUGCCUGAGAAGUCGGAUGGACAGGCAGCCAGGGAGACCUCAGGGAAGUGAGGGGUGGGAGCCAGGCUGAUGCCUGCGGACAGGUACCACGGAAGACCUGCUUCAUCCUGGGUCUGCCUUGGGGCCCAGCAAAUAGUUGAGAAGACAAAAAAAGCCACUGAUGCCCAAUGUCUCUAUCAAGCAUCUUUGUUUAGCACACUGGCGAUUCCUCCAAAAGUUACACAAAGACUUACCAUAUGAUCCAGCCAUCCUGCCUCCAAGUAUACGCAGCUGUGCAUCGCUUGAUGAGAGGGGUGUGGUCACAGGAGCGUAUCUGUGGUCAGGUGACUGUCCCUGGGAGAUCACUGCAGGGUGCGCUCAUGCUCCCUAUGUGGCUGAGCCCACGGCACAUCCAGGUUGUAUGGUAUGGCCUAUUGUUCCUAUUGUAUACACCUGCAUGUCUCAUAUUCUGAGCACUAUAAGUGAUUGCGGCACAACGUGUGUCUAGACACAGAGAAGGUACAAUGAGAUCACUAGGUAGUAGGAAUUUUGCAGCUGCAUGAGAAUCUUCUAAUCUUCAGCACCAUUGUUUAUGAUCCAAAACAUUUGUGAUGGGGUGCACGACUAUGCUCAAAAGAACUGAAAACAGGAUCCCGAAGAGUCACUUGUGCAUCUGUGUUGGUAGAAGCAUUAUUCACAAUAGCCACAAGGUGGAAGCAAACCAGUGUGCGUCUAUGGAUGAAUGUGAUACAUGGAACAGGGGGAGUGGGAACCACAGAACCAGGCCAGCCUUAGGAAGGAAUGAGGUUCUGAGAAACCCUGCAACACGGAUGAAUCUGGAAGAUACUGUGCUGGGGCCGGCGCUGUGGCGCAGCGGGUUAAAGCCUGCCUGCAGCGCCGGCAUCCCAUAUAGGCACUGGCUGGAGUCCUGGCUGCUCCACUUCCGAUCCAGCUCUCUGCUGUGGCCUGGGAAAGCCACAGAAGAUGGCCCAAGUCCUUGGGCCCCUGCACCUGCAUGGGAGACCUGUAAGAAGCUCCUGGUUCCUGGCUUCGGAUUGGCACAGCUCUGGCUGCUGUGGUCAUUUGGGGAGUGAACCAUCGGAUGGAAGAUAUCUCUCUCUCUCUCUGGCUCUCUCUCUGUAACUCUUUCAAAUAAUUUUAAUAAUAAUAAGAUACUAUGCUGAGUGACAUAAGCUGGACACAAAGGGUUAAAUACGGUGUAUCCCACUUACCUGAGAUACCCGGAAGAGGCAAAUCCACAGAGACAGAGAGUGGAACGGAGGUUACUAGGGACGAGGAGAGGGGAUGACAGACUUAUUAUUGAAUGGGUAUAGGGUUUCUGCUUAGGAUUAUGAUAAAGGUUUGGAAAUUGAUAGUGGUGCUGGUUGUAUAGUGUUGUGAUUGUACUCAAUGCCCCUGACACUUAAAAUGGAAAAGCUGACAGUAUGCAUAUUGUACCACAGUAAAACACUUUCUUUUUUUAUACUUAUUUAUUUAUUUGAAAGUCAGCGUUACACAGAGAGGCAGGGAAAGAGAGAGAGAGGUCUUCUAUCUGCUUGUUCACUCCCUAGUUGGCUACAAUGGCCAGAGCUGUGCCAAUCUGAAGCCAGGAACCAGGAGUUUCUUUCGGGUUUCCCACGCGGGUGCAGGGGCCCAAGGACUUGGGCCAUCUUCUACUGCUUUCCCAGGCCAUAGCAGAGAACUGGAUCAGAAGUGGAGCAGCUGGGACUUGAACCGGUGCCCAUGGGAUGCCAGCACUGCAGAUGGCGGCUUUAACUGCUUUGCCACAGUGCUGGCCCUGUAAAACACUUCAUUUUUAUUAUUCAUGCUUUAUCCUUUCAAAGUAACUGAUUUGCAAGAACUUAAAGAUAUGGAAUCCUUUCCAGCAAUAGUAAUCAUAGUUUUUUUUUUUUUCUCUUUGCCAUCUUCUUAUUCACCAUGAAAAAUACACACUCACACAAGAAAAUUGCUUUAAUUAUCUGCAUUACACCAAGCGUCUUUUCAUAAGAAGGAAGUACAUGACUAGAAUGAACUCCCACUAAGAGAUUCUUAUUUCUAAGGGAAAGAGUUGGAAGCCAACAGCACAUUCAAUAACUGGGAAGUAGUGCGAGCCAUUUUAAAGCAUUGGGGCAGUAGAGUGUGAUACACCCAUUAAAUGCUGAUGAUGUGAAAACGCUCAUAGUAAAUGCUAAAUAAAAACAGCAAGCUGUAAGAUUUUGUUGUGAGGUAGAAUCUUAUUGUAGUUGGAAGGAAAAUAUACACCCCAGGAACCAAAAACAAAAUGUGAUUUAUUUAUGAUGUUAAUGGUGUUGACUCUGGUGCUAGCAUUAUCAAUGCUGUUUAUUUUCAUUGUAUUUUAAAAUACUUUCAUAAUAAAUCCUCAGCAUUUAUUAUGAAAAUUUCAUACAGAAAAUCCAAAAGACUGAUGUAUAAACAUCUGUUCUUCCUGUUUGAUUCAAUAACUGUUAAUGUUUUCUUGUACUUCAUUUUAUUUAUUCAUCUAUGUGUGUGUCUAUCAAUCAAUCAUCUAUUUAUCUUCUAUCUAUCCAUCAAUCAUAUGUAUUAAACUAUCUAUCAUCUCCAUCAUCAUCAUCAGUUUUGGGAACUGGCAAAUUAUAGCUCAAUGCCAAAUAUAGCCCUAUUUACAAAUAGCUGAAUUAAGAAGGGUUUUUGGGGGCCGGCACUGUAAUGUGGCAGGUAAAGCUGCUGCCUACAGUACCAGCAUCCUGUGUGGGUGCUGGUUCAAGAACUGGCUGAUCCACUUCCAAUCCAGGUCCCUGCUAAUGUGCCUGGGAAAGCAGUGAAGGAUGGCUUAGUUCCUUGGGCCCCUGCACUCAUGUGGGAGCCCUGGAAGAAGCUCCUAGCUACUGGCUUUGGAUAGGCCUUGCUUUGGUCUUUGUGGCUAUUUGGGGAGUGAACCAGUGGAUGGAAGACCUCUCUCUGUGUGUCUCUUCUUCCUUCUCUAUGACUUUGCCUUUCCAAUAAAUAAUCUUUUUUUUUUUUAAAGAAAGGUCUUUACAUUUUAAAUAGCAACAUUUUAACUGAUUAUAGAGAUGUCUGACUUUUCUUCUUGAUUUGCAAGGCCUAAAUACUUACUAUGUGCUUUACAAAGAAAAUUUGCCAACCCCUGUUAUACAUACAAACACAUAUACACACUCACACACACACGUGCACACACACAAAUUUUGCUGGAGAAUCUGACAACAAGUUUCAGACAUUAGAGGACUUCUACCUCAAUUACUUCAUUGUACAUCUCUUAAAAAUAAAUUAAUAUUUGUGAUUAAUCAUAAACUAUUAGCACACCAAACAAAAUGAACUUUCUUCAUGAACAUCCUAAAAUACCUACCAAUAGACAAAUUUGUGUGGGAUUGCAUGUGUAAACUUUAUAAAGUGACAUAAAUAACUUUAUAACAAUAAAAUUAAAACAUGUAUUUUAAAAUUAGGUUAUUAUAACCAAAAUGUAUUUUUAGCAUCAAUUUUAUUACUCAAAGGAUUCAGCAACUCUGAUCUAAUCAAACUGCUCCUCUGGGAAUUUCAAAUUAAUAUUUAACAUUUCAGUAUCAAAUACCACAUAUUCAUAAAGCAGCCAGAAUUUGUGGUGUUUGUUAGCUAAGGGAUCUUCAAAAAGUUCAUAGAAAAUGCAGAUGAUCAAAAAAUUAUGCAUGGAUUUCAAAAUUGUUAGCACCCCAAAAUGUUUAUUUUCAUGUUGCCAAGAACUCUAUGAAGUAUCUUAACAGAUGUAGGCAGGACAAGGCAGGAUACUGUGUAUUAUUUUCUGUAUUAAAAAUCAUCUCCAAUGUUUCUAAUAAUGUUUAAGGCUGGUGGUUCACCUUACGGCUUCUUUCCCAAUUUUUCUGUGUAUGACUGUAACUUUCCGUCACCAGAGGCUGUGUGGUUCCAGGCUGGACACACAGCCGGCAGCUGCUGAGACCAAACCUGGCUCACAGAGUGUCAGGACUCCCGCAGCUCCGAAGUGGAAACCCUGUGCCUUUGCGGCAACCUCGCAUUUCAGAAGCAGAAGCAAGGCCGUUAAGGCAAACAAAACAUUGAGGAAACUCUGGCUUCAACAUUUGAAUGGAUUUUGAGAAAAGCAGGACUUUAUCCCCCUGGUAGGCAUGUUUUUGUAAACAUUCCAUUUUGUGUGUGUGUGUGUGUGUGUGUGUGUGUGUGACAUGACUCAUGUGAUGGAGCCACCUGAUUUAGCUGCGGUAGAACUAAGUCUAGAAGGUUUGGGGAAGGAUCGGUUCCUAAAAUUCCCCACUGCCAAUCAUGACUGUGGUUACAUGAGGUUCGUGUCUUAAAAAAAAAAAAAAAAGAGAGAGAGAGAUCUGUGUUCCCAAGCUCUGGAAUUAUUGAAACCAUGUACUUUUGUAAGCUCAUCUUUGCUCUGUUUGAGCCAUAAUGUUAUGUCUGCCUUCACCACAAUCAUAUGAAUAGGGAGCCGUUGGGCCAGGCCCUCUCCCAGCAUGCAAUGGGGUAGAAUCUGCCUUACACAGUCAGCUGAAAGAGCAAACAAAUUCUACUCCUUCCUUGACCAAGAGCUCAGAGAGAAAUAUCCUAGAAAAUUAUUUUUUAAAAUUGGAGAUAAUCAGGGCAUGUUAGGUAUUAGGAAAAUAUCGAGCAAUAAACAUACAAACACACACACACAUGUGCAAGUUUGGGAAAGAAUGACAGUGUGUGCCUUUGCAAACAUUUAUUCAUUUUAUUUUAUUUUUAAAAGAUUUAUUUAUUUACUCUGAAGUCCACAGUUACAGGCAAGAGAGGGAGGGACGGAGAGAGAGAGAGAGAGGAAGAGAGAGAGAGAGAGAGAAAUCUUUAAUCAACUGGAUCACUCCCCAGAGGGCCACAACAGCCAGGGCUGGGCCAGGCCAAAGUCAGGAGCCAAGAGCUUCAUCCGGAUCUCCCGCAUGGGUGGCAGGGGCCCAAGUACUUGGGCCAUCUUUGCUGCUUUUACCAGGCCAUCAGCAAGGAGCUGGAUCAGCAGUGGAGCAGCUGUGCACACCUGGGAUGCCUGUGUCAUGGGUGGCAGCUUUACAUGCUAUGCCAUGAUGCGAACCCCCUUGAAAACUUUUACUGGCUAAAAGAUGUAGUACUGUUAUCCUUUUUACAAACAUGAAACAUAUAGGCUUUCCAUAUGCUCGAUGAGAUCUGAAGAGAUGAUAUUAAUUAUGGAAGACCAAAUUCAGAGUAGGCAGAUAUAUUUGAAUUUGCUUAAUAAAUAUUCAUUCCUUUGGAGAGAAAUUGUUGCAAAACAUUUUCUUUCCAUUUAGUGGGAAGUAUCCUUUUAGCACUCCCUCCUCUUUGUAUGCUGUUCUCAUCAUAUGACAAUACAUUUUUGGCUUAGACUAAAUACAACAUGUGGCUCUUCCUUAUUAUAUCAACUCAGAAUCCUGUUUAUAAAUCUGUUUGGCUCCAGGAAGCUGCUUUUCUAUGUUAAUGUCAUUUCUCCAACACAUCUUCUUUCAUUCAUUCCUUUGUCAUUCAUGUACUGAUCACCCACUAUGGUUAAUUUUAUUUUAAAGAUUUUUAAAAUUUUUAUUUGAAAGAGAGUUACAGAGAGGCAGAGGCAGAGGCAGAGGCAGAGAGAGAGAGAGAGAGAGAGAGAGAGAGAGAGAGAGAGAUGUUCUAUCUGCUGGUUCACUCCCCAAUUGGCUGCAACGGCUGGAGCUGCGCUGAUCUGAAGCCAGGAGCUGGGGGCUUCUUCCAGGUCUCCCACGCAGGUGCAGAGGCCCAAGGACUUGGGUCAUCUACUGUUUUCCCAGGCCAUAGCAGAGAGCUGAAUUGGAAGUGGAGCAGCCAGGAUGCGAACAGGCACCCAUAUGGGAUGCUGGUACUACAGGCAGUGGCUUUACCUGCUACCCCACAGCAUUGGCCCCGAUUUUGAACUUAUUAUAAGAUAAAAAGCAAAAAGAAAUUUCAGAAACCAGACCAAAACAAAGGGUACAUACCAUUAUGACGAUACCUUGUCAUAAGCUUAAACAAAAUUGGGGUUGGGUGGGUGAUUGGUGCGUGGUUAAGACACUUCUGUGGGAUGCCUGCAUCUCAUGUCUGAGUGUCUGGGUUCAAGUUUCGGCUCUGCUUCUGACCCUAGUUUCCUGCUUAUAUAUACACUCUGGGAUGUAGCCCAUGAUGGUUCAAGCAGUUGGAUCCCUGCCACCCAUAUGGGAGACCCAGAUUGAGUUCUGGGCUCCUGGCUUCAGCCUAGUUUGGCUCUGAUUGUCACAGGCAUCUGAUGUGUGAACCUGCAGAUGGAAGAUCCUUCUCUGUCUGUCCCUGUCUCUCUCUAUCUUUGAAGUAAAACUGAAUAUAUGUAAAUAAAAACAGAAAAAGAAAAAGGUAGAGAUUAGAUCAAAUGGCUAGAGUAAUUAGACUGCAUUAAGCUGUCUGUACAGCAAGGAAAGCAUGGUGUGCAGGAUUCAGAAGCUGACUACGACGGACAGGCUAGUGGGCUAGCACAUGGACUCCUGCAGCAUGGUGUGGAGAGCCUAGCUUUAGUUUUGAGUGUUGCAUUCAUGGGAGCUUAUUGCAUUAUUAAAAGCAAAUAAUUGGGGCCAACACUGUGGUGUAGUGGGUUAAGCUUUUGCCUGCAGUGCCGGCAUCUCAUAUGGGCAUUGGUUCUAGUCCUGGCGGCUCCACUUCUGAUCCAGCUCUCUGCUAUGGCCUGAGAAGGCAGUGGAAGAUGACCCAAGUGCUUGGGCCUCUGUACCCAGGUGGGAAACCUGGAAGAAGCUCCUGGCUCCUGGUUCCUGGCUUUGGAUCGGUGCAGCUCUGGCCAUUAGAUGAGUGAACUGGUGGGUGGAGGACCUCUGUCUCUGUCUCUCCCUCUCUUUAUCUGUUACUCUGCCUUUCAAAUAAAUACAUCUUUAAAAAGAAAAAAAAAACAAACAAACAAGUAAUUAGGGCCUGGCAUUGUGGCCCAGUGGGUUAUGCUGAUCCCAUAUGAGCGCCAUUUAGAAUUCCAGCUGCUCCACUUCUGAUCCAGCUCUCUGCUGUGGCCUGGGAGAGCAGUAGAAGAUGGCCCAAGUCCUUGGGCCCCUGCACCCACAUGGGAGACCCUGAAGAAGCUCCUGGCUCCUGGCUUUGGAUCAGUGCAGCUCGGGCCAUUGUGGUCAUUUGGGGAGUGAACCAGCAGAUGGAACAUCUGUUCGUCUCUGUCUGUCCCUCUCUCUGUCACUCUGCCCUUCAAAUAAAUAAAUGCACAUUUGAAAGCAAGCACAUAAAGAAAAAAAACCAAGUAAUUAGAAACAAAGGCAAACUCAGUAGAAGAGGGCCAUGAUGAGAACGGUGAGAAUGUCAUGAAAUUCUCCAUGUGAUUGGGCUAUUAUUAUUAUUAUUAUUAUUUUUUCAUCUGAGGACAAUCUACAAACAGAAAAACAGACAGUGAAGGGUGAGGGGAAAGAGUAUGAAACUAAGAAAUCGAGGAGAGGGGGAGAGAAAGGUGCUUCAGUUCUUUUGAAGGAAGAGAGAAAACGCAUUUCCAAGAGCCCACGACGGCUUGGAAAAGACCAGAAGCCCGAGGGGUGGGACUGCUGAGCCAGCCCGGCGGCAUCUGUGGGCCGUGAGAGGGACGUGAGAGGGACGCCGUGUCUCUGCGCCAGUGUCAGCCAGAGGGCGGCAUUCCAGGAAAGGGUGAUGUGGUUCCACACCACACCACGGUUUGGCCCAACGGACGCGGACACUUAGCCAACCCCGGGGUUUCCAAAAACUCAGAAUGUUGUGGGCAGUUCUGGCUUCUUCCAUACGCCAGGCUAUUCAUUAGAGGAACCGCUGGAUUAACCCCUGGCCAUAAUCACCUAGGAUGAGGGCUUGUGCGCGGACGCUUGUUGUGGGUAACCGAGGGGACUCCCCUGGGAGCCGCCAUCUUGUUGCAGCCCUCCUGGUGCCCAGAGUGGGAGCGGUGCAUGCUGGGAGCAUGCCAAGUACGCAUGCGCGCAGGAAACUCGCUGGCCAGUGCUAACUGCUGUCCUGCCGCCUCCGGGGCCGCAGGGUGACUGGCCGGUGACUGGCGCGCCUCUUAGCCGUAAAGUGACCUGAAUGUGUUAGAAGUAUUUGAGCCAUCUGGGGUACAGAGAGAUUUCUUCUGUCCUUCUCUGAGUGGCUUUGUCGCCUUUGUGGACAGUAGACAGCCGCAGAUAAAACCAGAGGAGAAAGUGCCCAGGAAGCCGGCUCCCUGGACACACAGUGCUGCCCUGUGUCACUCCUUCCUUGGGAAUGAAUACCGUUAAAACACAAUGAAAUGGGGGCCAGCUUUGUGACACAGCAGUUGAAGCUGCAGCCUGCCUUGCUGGCAUCCCCUGUGGGUGCUGGUUGCUGUUCCGGCUGCUCCUUUUCAGAUCCAACUCCCUGCUAAUGCACCUUGGAAGCAGCAGAGGAUGGUACAAGCACCUGGGCCCCUGCCACUCACAUAGGAGCUCUGAUGGCCUUCCAGGCUCCUGGCUUUGGCCUGGCCCAGCCCCAGCCAUUGCAGCCAUUUUGGGAGUAAGCCAACGGAUGAAAGAUCUCUCCUUCUCUCCCUGUAACUCUGCCUUUCAAACAAACAAAUCUUUUUAUUUGAAAGGCAGAGUUGCAGAGAGGGAGAGAGAGAGAGAGAGAGAGAGAGAAAGUCUUCCAUCUGCUGGGUCACUCUCCUAAUGGCUGCAAUGGCUGGAGCUGGGCUGAUCCAGAGUCAGGAGCCAGGAGCUUGGUCUGGGUGUUCGACUCAGGGCCCCCGUAAGUCUAGGAGGCCUUCACGGAGUUGGAAUUGACCUUAGUAGGCAUGGAUGCAUACGCUCUUGAAAUGUAAGGUGAAUUGACAGGAGCUCACCACAGGGGCUUCUGUGUUCCCAGUGAAACAGGUGCUGUAUCCCCAGAACCUAGAGCUUUUCCUGACACACUGUGGAUGCCCAGUGAAUGCUUAUAGAGUGACCAGAGGGGUCCAUUCGGUCAAACGAAUCAUCUAGGUGUGGAAUUGACGCCUGGAAGGAGAGAGCCUGUGUUCUGGAACAUCAGCUUUGGGCCAUCUGCAGUAAGAGCUCUCUGCUAUGGCCUGGAAAAGCAGUGGAAGAUGGCCCAAGUGCUUGGGCCCCUGGGAGACUUGGAGGAAGCUCCUGAUUCCUGGUUUCGGAUCGGCACAGCUCUGGCGGUUGUGACCAAUUGGGGAGUGAACCAGUGGAUGGAUGACCUCUCUCUCUCUCUCUCUGCCUUUCCUUCUCUCUCUGUGUAACUCUGAUUUUCAAAUAAAUAAAUAAAUCUUAAAAAAGAAGUUAUGCAUGAGUCUCAACAUUCAUUUUUUGCACUCCAAAAUAAACAUAUCUUUUAAUUCCAUUUUUCCCCCUGCAGUUUUUGAAGCACCCUUGUAUUUACCCACCCGUCAUUGCUGGCUUUUCUUUUGACUCAAUUCUUUUGACACUUGCAGUUAGUCUUGUGAUAGUUCUUUAAUUUCUUGAAUGGGUAUUUGGAUUGUUCUACUUCAUUCAGGAUUUUCUUUGUUUGCAUCUUCUCUCUCCAGCUGCUUAAUAGGAGUGAAUGCUUGGGUGUGGAAAUAACUUCUUUGAACUAGGAUCCUGGUCUUUCCCAUAAAAGUCAAGACUUCUUUUGUUUGCUUAAAGAUGUUUUGGAGAAGAAACAUGUAGGAAUUCAGUGCCAACUAGCAAUUCCCACUUUCCACCCUUUUGCUUUCUUAAAAGAUUUAUUUAUUUGAAAGACAGAGUGAUAUGGAGAGAGGGAGGGAGGGAUGGGAGGGGUAGAGGGGAAGAGAGAGAGAGAGAGAGAGAGAGAGAGAGAGAGAGAGAUCUUCCAUAUGCUGGUUCGCUCCCCAAAUGCCCACAGUGACUGGGGCUGGGCCAGGACAAAGCCAGGAGCCAGGAGCUCCAUCAGAGCUCCUAUGUGGGUGGCAGGGCCCCCAGUACUUGGGCCAUCAUCUGUUGCUUCCAAGGUGCACUAGCAGGGAGCUGUCUGAAGCAGAGUGCAGAGUAGCCGGGACCCUAACUGGCACUCCGAUAUGGGAUGUGGGCAUCCCAAAUGCUGGCUUAACCUGCUGUGCCAUGAUGCCAGCCCCUUCCACCAUUUUUUAAAAGAUCUAUUUAUUUAUUUGAAAGUCAGAUUUAUACAUACACAGAGAGAGGGAGAGGCAGAGAGAGAGAGAGAGAGAGGUCUUCCAUCUGCUGGUUCACUCCCCAGAUAGCCGCAAUGGCCGGAGCUGAGCCUUUCCGAAGCCAGGAGCCAGGAGCUUCUUCCGGGUCCCUCACAUGGGUGCGGGGGCCCGAGGACUUGGGCCAUCUUCUACUGCUUUCCCAGGCCAUAGCAGAAAGCUGGAUCGGAAGUGGAGCAACCAGGACUUGAACUGGUGCCCAUAUGGGAUGCUGGCACUGUAGGUGGUGGCUUUACCUGCUACGCCACAGCGCUGGCCCCCCUUCCACAAUUUUGAAGAAAGAAAAAGGAAUUUGUGUUAUUUGAGAUUCAACUGAUUCUUCCUCUCCUCUACUGUCCAGUUUUACAAUAUGUUGACUUUUUCAGAGUCACUCUAGGUUAUAAAGUGGGUAGGCUCUGAUUUUGUUCUCUUUGGCUCUUUUCUACGUCACCUUUUUGUUUUUUUUUUUUUUUUAAAGAUUUAUUUGAAAGUCAGAGUUUUAUAUAUGUUAUACACACACACACACACACACACACACACACAUAUAGGGAGAGACACAGAGACAGGUCUUCCAUCUUCUGGUUCACUCCCCAAGUGGCCACCAUGGCCAGGGCUGGGCCAGGCCAAAAUCAGAAGCCAGGAGCUUCCUCUGGAUCUCCUUCGUGGCUGGCUGGGCCCAAGCACUUGGGCCAUCUUCUGCUGCUGUAUUGCGAGUGGAGCAGCUGGGACAUUAGCCGAUGCCCUUCUGGGAUGUCAGUGUCACAGGUGGUGGCUUUAACCACUCUGCCACAAUGCCACUCCCUCUACGCCCCCCCCCCUUUUGGUGAGUGGGUGGGGAGUGAAUAUUCUCUAAUAGGUGAGAACCUUCUCUAUGUUUCUGGUAAGUUUACUUGGAAGAGAGAUUUCCAGUUCAGUGCUGAAUUAAUCACAAAUCACUCCCAUCUGACAUGCAUUGUGAGAUUGUGGCUAUGUUUUUUCCCCCUCUUUAUUUAUGUAGUUAUUUAUUUGAAAGGCAAGGAGGGGGGUGGAGGAGUGAGAGAAUUCCCACCCACUGGCUCACUCCUCUGGCUGUCAGAACCAGGGCUGGACCAGGCUGAAGCCAGGAGCUAGGGACUCAGUCUGGGUCUCCUGCAUGGCUGCAGGGGCCCAAGAACUUGAGUCAUCACUGCCGCCUCCGAGGGUGUGCAUUAGCCGGAAGCUGGAGUUGGGAGCUUCCGGUGUUAGAGCUGGGUACUAGACUCAGUCACUCUGAUACGGCAUGCAGGGGUCCCAGGCAGCAUGUUGAUCACUACACUAACAACUAUAGCCUGUCUCAGUUGACUGUCCUUGACGUAUAGCUACAAUGACAAAAUCCACCUAAAUGUCUUGGGUCAUUGUGUUCAGAAAAGAUACUAAUUAAAAAAAUUUUUGGGCCAGUGCCGCGGCUCACUAGGCUAAUCCUCCACCUGUGGCGCCGGCACACAGGGUUCUAGUCCCGGUUGGGGUGCUGGAUUCUGUCCCAGUUGCUCCUCUUCCAGGCCAGCUCCCUGCUGUGGCCCGGGAGGGCAGUGGAGGAUGGCCCAAGUGCUUGGGCACUUGCACCCGCAUGGGAGACCAGGAGGAAGCACCUGGCUCCUGGCUUCGGGUUGGUGCAGCGUGCCGGCCGUAGCAGCCAUUUAGGGGGUGAACCAAGGGAAGGAAGACCUUUCUUUCUGUCUCUCUCUCUCACUGUCUAAUUCUGCCUGUUAAAAAAAUUAUUUUUGAGCCGGCGCCGUGGCUCACUAGGCUAAUCCUCCGCCUUGCGGCGCCAGCACACCGGGUUCUAGUCCCAGUCGGGGCACUGGAUUCUGUCCCGGUUGCCCCUCUUCCAGGCCAGCUCUCUGCUGUGUCCAGGGGGUGCAGUGGAGAAUGGCCCAAGUGCUUGGGCCCUGCACCCCAUGGGAGACCAGGAUAAGUACCUGGCUCCUGCCAUCAGAUCAGCGCAGUGCGCCGGCCACAGCGUGCCGGCCGUGGCAGCCAUUGGAGGGUGAACCAACGGCAGAGGAAGACCUUUCUCUCUGUCUCUCUCUCACUGUCCACUCUGCCUGUCAAAAAAAAAAUUAAAAAAAAAUUAUUUUUUUAGGAAAGGCAGCUUUAUCCUGUGAAAACAGUGACACCUGCCUAAAUCUUAUUUUGCAAUCUGUUUAAAGAUCAAGAAGGUAGUUGUAUUUAUUGGUGCCUUCAAAGUCUGCCCCUGUUCCCAUGCCAGGGUGGGAUGGGAAUGGCUGAGUUGCAAGCACCUGGGGAAAUAGAGAAGGUCUGGUGAGUGCGAUGGAGAAAGGCUACUGGGGUCUGAGCUGGAAGAGACAAGACAUCGUGGAACAAGGGGCCAGAUUUUGUGAGGGAGAUCCCAGGUGUGGCCUACGCCAGUGGGGGAGGGAAGACAGACGACUGGGAGGUUAUAGACGGGGAGGGUGAAAAUCAGGUUCCUCACCUGGAGAAUCGUUGGCCUGUGAGCUUUGCAGUUUGGUUCUCCUGACUCCUUCUCCUCUUGGAAGUGGUCAGCUCCCCAUCUCUGCAAAGAAAUACCUGCAAGGAGCUGCCUGUGCAAGGAAAGACAGUUUCAUUUUGGCUUAUGGUUCUGGAGGUUCACAGUCCAAGAUUGGGCAGGCGCCACUGGCUCAGCUUCUAGAGACAGAGCCCCAGCCCAGCACAGCCCAGCAUGGGGGAGCAGGUGCUUGUCUGUGUCUCUCCUUAUGAAGCACCAUAUUACAUCCAGGGCCUGCACCCUCUACAGCCUCAUCCAAUCUCAUCACUUCCAAAGGCUUCACAUCUGAAGAUCAAAGCUGGGUUUGGUUUACACCCUCUUAGUUUCAUUAACAUAUGAUUUCAGGACAAAAAAAUUUUUUUUUUUUGGAAAUACAGACAGACACACACACAUACACACACACACACACAGAGAGAGAGAGAGAGAAAAUCUUCUACCCACUGAUUCACUCCCCAAACGGCUACAAUGGCUGGGUCUGGGCCAAGCCAAAGCCAGGAGCCAGGAGCUUCCCCCAGGUCUCCCAUGUGGGUACAGGGGCCCAAGUACUUGGGCCAUCUUCCACUGCUUUCCCAGGCCAUCACAGAGCUGGAUCUGAAGUUGAGCAGUCAGGACUCAAACUGGCUCCCGUAUGGGAUGCUGGUAUUGCAGGCGGCAACUUUUACCUGCUACACCACAAUGCUGGCCCCGGGGAACGAGUCUUAAAUCCAUGGGCCUUUGGGAAACAUAACACCCAAACCGUAGCAUUUUUUGGCUGUUUUAUCUGGUAUUUAGAUACUGCUAUAUUUUUAUUUUUAUUUGUUUAUUUUUUUUUCAAAGAUUUAUUUAUUUAUUUGAAAGUCAGAGUUACACAGAGGGAGAAGAGGCAGAGAGAGAGAGAGAGAGAGAGAGAGAGAGAAGGUCUUUCAUCAGUUGGUUCACUCCCCUAGAUGACCUCAAUGGCUGGAGCUGCACCGAUCUGAAGCCAGGAGCCAGGAGCUUCCUCCAGGUCUCCCACGUGGGUGCAGGGGCCCAAGGACUUGGGCCAUCUUGUCCUGCUUUCCCAGGGCAUAGCAGAGAGCUGGAUUGGAAGUGGAGCAGCCGGGAUUGAACCGGUGCCCAUAUGGGAUGCUGGUGCUUCAGGCCAGGGUGUUAACCCACUGCGCCACAGUGCUGGCCCCUAUAUUUUUAGUAUAGCUGUCCUGUCCUGUCCCCUGCCUUUCCUCAGGCUCUGGCUGCUAUUCUUAUCUUGGGAUAUAUGUUCCAAGACCCUGAGCGGAUACCUUGAAACUGGGGAUAGUGCCCAACCCUCUAAUUUAAUGCCUUUUCCCUCUUAACUAAGAUUUUAGCACAUACUGUGGCCAUAACUUUUGCAGUGUGACAGAGAAGCUAGCAUGAGUUUUGAAAGGCAGCAUGACAGAGAGAGAGAGAGAGAGAGAGAGAGAGAGAGAGAGAGAUUGAUUUUCCAUCUUCUGGUUGACUCUCCCAUUUGCCACAACAGCCAGAUCUGGGCCAUGCCAAACUUAGGAGCCAGGAACUCCACCCGGGCCUCCCACAUGGGCGGUAGGGCCCAUGGGCUUGGACCAUGUUCCAUGGCUUUCCCAGGCACAUUAGCAGGAAGCUGGAUGGGAAGAAGAGUAGCUGGGAUGGUAACUGGCACUCUGAUACGGGAUGCCGGCAUUGUAAGCUGCGGCUUAACCUUCCGUGCUACAAUGCCUUUAUUUAUUUACUUAGCAUUAAUUACUUGCAUUACUUUUUUUUCCCCCUUCACAGUUUACCAUAGGUUUUAGCAAUCCCAUACAAAUUUUGUCUUUCCUCAUUAGGUGGAGAGCUUCCAUUUUUUCACUUAAGGGAGGCACUUCAUGGUUUCUUCUUGGCAUAUCUGAAUUGCCAGACAUCAGUUCCUGUGUGCUUUGGAGCCCAUUCUUGAGUACAGCCAGGGUGACUUGAACACGGAGCCCAGAAUCCCGGAACACUGUGAUAACCUAGACAGCUGCUAAACUACUUGACCGACACUCAGACAGUGGGGAUUCAUUGGGCAAAGGAGAUUCCUGUCUUGGGCAGGACAGGCAGAGUGGGACAGAAUGAAAUCUCAUCACUCUGCUCAGAAUGGCACAGAACUAAAACUUAGGAAUUGUUUAUUCUGGAAACUUCUAUGUUGUGUUGUUGAAUCACAGUUGACUGCAGGCAGCUGGAGCCUUGGAGUGUGAAGCUGCGUGGCACAGAGGACGCCUGCACGUCUUACCGGGCUCUCCGUGCCUCCGUGCCCUGCGGUUGGAGAAGUGUCACAUGAAAAUUGCACAACCAGGCAUCCUUCUGAGAAAGUCACUUUCCUUUUCAAGGACUUGACUUGGUCCAUUUAGAUUUAUUAUGGACCAUCUUGGUAUCUCAUUUUUUUUAGCUCCCUCUUUUCCUAAAUUGUUCUUUCUCAACAUCUUGCAUUUUUUAAAAAGUUUAAUUUAUUAUUCUGUUCUGGUUUGGAAGUCAUGGUUUCUCCAUCUUUUCAUCACUACCACAGCCGAUGUUACAUCUGGGCUUAGCACGUUCUCUUACACAAUACAAAGACCCUAGAAUGUGUAAACUCUGUUUACUUGCUUUCCACCGUGUACACUGUUGCAAUGUAUUUUAUUUCUAGAAUGCUCCAGGCCAAUGUUCCGGCCCCUCUUGUUAGGUUUAUAGAUGAUUUCCAGCUAUGGUAGAUUCCUCUUUCUGCAUUGGAGUUUCCGAAGUUUUCAAAAUAUCCCCCAGAAGCGCUAUUUCCCAUUUUCUAGGGUGCUCAGAGACCUGGAGCCAGGUCUCCCAUGUGGGUGACAGGGACUCAAGUAUUUGAGCCAUCUUCUGCUGCCUCGUGGGUGCGUUGGCAGGAAGCUGGAGUGGAAGUGGAGGAGCUGUAACCCGAACUGGAACUCUGGUAUGGGGUGGGGGAACCCCAGGCAUCAGCUUAACCCAUUGUGCCACAACACUGGUCUCUUUUAAUUUGGUUUUUGAAAUCCAAUUCAUUCACCUUUUGUUUCUAUAAUUUCGAGCUGACUUUUCAGAUUGGCCUGUUCAUUUUCAUAGUGUGUGAUCUUUCCUUAUGGUUUUUAUUAUAUUCAUUCAUUUAAAAUAAACUUGUUUGUCAUCACUUCCACAUAGUUUACUAUCCAGAUUUUAGGUGUUCUAAUUUUCCUGUUUAUUACAUUUUCUGAAUUUCCAUUCUAGUACCUUCAUUGCUUGUUAGGUUUAUCUUAUUUUUAUUUUUUAGGAUUUAUUUAUUUAUGUGAAAGUCAAAGUUACACAGUGAGAGAAGGAGAGGCAGAGAGAGAGAGAGAGAGAGAGAGAGAGGUGACUUCCAUCUGCUGGUUCACUCCACAACUGGCUGCAAUUGCCGGAGCUGUGCCAAUCCGAAGCCAGGAGCCAGGAGCUUCCUCCAGAUCUCCCACGUGGGUGCAGGGGCCCAAGGACUUGGGCCAUCUUCCACUGCUUUCCCAGGUCAUAGCAGAGAGCUGGAUUGGAAGUGGGGCAGCCGGGGCUCGAACCGGUGCUGGCACUGCAGGCAAAGGUUUACCUGCUAUGCCACAGCGCCGGCCCCUCUUGUUAGGUUUAUAAAUGAUUUCCAGCUAUGGUAGAUUUCUUUUUCUGUAUUGGGAGUUUCCGAAGUUUUCAAAAUAUCCCCCAGAAGCGAUAUUUCCCAUUUUCUAGGGUGCUCAGAGCGCCUUAAGAGCUAUCUUCAUGUCACCUGCGUGCCCAGUCCUAUGACUGUCACACAUUUAACCCUCACACCCCUGUGACUGCUUGAUUGGCAGUUUGAACUCCAGGCCCUGGACAGGUGGCAAGCUUUCUCGCUGCUCAAAGGCAGGUGGGGGUGGGUGGGUGACAUUUUUGGCUCUCUUUGGAGAAAUUAGUUCUUCAAGGCUCCAACAUGGAAGUGGGAUAUCCAAUGGCAGCUCUCUCUGCUUUUAUUUAUUUAUUUAUUUGAAAGAGUUACACAGAGAGAGGAGAGGCAGAGAGAGAGAGAGAGAGAGAGAGAGAGAAGUCUUCCAUCAGCUGGUUCACUCCCCAGAUGGCCGCAGUGGCUGGAGCUGUGCCUAUCUGAAGCCAGGAGCCAGGAGCUUCCUCUGGGUCUCCCACGUGGGUGCAGGGGCCCAAGGACUUGGACCAUCUUCUGCGGCUUUCCCAGGCCACAGCAGAGAGCUGGAUGGGAAGUGGAGCAGCCGGGACUCGAACCAGCACGCAUAUAGGAUGCCAGCACUGUAGGCGGCUGCAUAACCCGCUAUGCCACAGCGCCGGCCCCUCCCCUGCUUUUACAGACGUCCUGUUUCCUGUCCUUACAGCAGCAUUAAGGCCAGUCUUGGGCAUCUGGAGCCUGUGAUGGAAUCUGAGGCAGUUGGUAGGCAGGACGGGGUCCAUGCGCUUGGGACGUCACCAAAUAAUCAGCCGCCAGGGGGAGCUGCUCAGAGUUCUGUGGCAAGCAAAGGCGAGUUCCCUAAAGAAGUUGCUUCCCCGAGAAGCAGUCCGCAUAGCCAUGGGUAGGGGAGCGUCCAGCAUGGAGGAGUAGGGCGCAGGGGGCCUCUCCUGCUCCAGCCACAUCCAUCUUCAUGCACUGUGCGCAGGCUGGGUUCUGCUAGUUGUUCCUAUUUGCGCUGGUCUGGCUCCUCUGUGUCCAAGGUUGUAGGCUAAGGUUUCCUGGAGCAUCCCCUGAAAUACUCAGCUUCCCACAGUCUGUGCCCCCGAGCCUGUGCCCUGCUCUUGCCCGAGGCCCACAGUCUGGGUCACAAAGCUGCCGUUGACUUGUCUCUGUCUUGGUCCUGAUUUCCCUGUUUAUUUGGCACAAAGGGAUUUUCUAGGUUUUUUUUUUUUUCCUCCUAGUUUGCGUUUUGAUUCUUUUGUUGUUUUUGCUCCAUUUGACUCAUUACUCUGAAAAUUCAUAAGAGGGUGGUUCCUUCAAAACAAGGUAUGUUUUUGAAAAUCCUGUUGGCCUCAGAGAUUUUUAAAAAUUUAUCCUCCAGCUGCAGUGCUGGCAUCCCAUAUGGGCACUGGUUCAAGUCCUGGCUGCUCCACUUCCUAUCCAGUUCUCUGCCAUCACCUGGGAAAGCAGUAGAAGAUGGCCCAAGUGCUUGGGUCCCUGCACCUGCAUGGGAGACCCGGAAGAAGUUCCUGGUUCCUGGCUUCAGAUCAGUGCAGCUCCAGUCGUUGCGGCCAAUUGGGGAGUGACCCAGUGGAUGGAAGACCUCUCUCUCUCUCUCUCUGCCUCUCCUUCUCUCUCUGUGUAACUCUGACUUUUAAAUAAAAUAAAUAAAUCUUUAAAAAAUAUGCUGUAUUAUCUCAGAAAAGUGAUUGUAAGGCUAAUACAUAAUGCAUAUAUGACAACUUCUAUUUUAUCCAGGUGCCUUUUGUCUGGGAUUU